rnacentral:rRNA from 1 species
UACAGAGGGGCAAGCGUUGUUCGGAAUUACUGGGCGUAAAGGGUGCGUAGGCGGGUCUUUUAAGUCAGGGGUGAAAUCCUGGAGCUCAACUCCAGAACUGCCUUUGAUACUGAAGAUCUUGAGUCCGGGAGAGGUGAGUGGAACUGCGAGUGUAGAGGUGAAAUUCGUAGAUAUUCGCAAGAACACCAGUGGCGAAGGCGGCUCACUGGCCCGGUACUGACGCUGAGGUGCGAAAGCGUGGGGAGCAAACAGG